AACGAACGCUGGCGGCGGGCUUAACACAUGCAAGUCGAGCGCCCCGCAAGGGGAGCGGCAGACGGGUGAGUAACGCGUGGGAAUCUACCCAUCUCUACGGAACAACUCCGGGAAACUGGAGCUAAUACCGUAUACGUCCUUCGGGAGAAAGAUUUAUCGGAGAUGGAUGAGCCCGCGUUGGAUUAGCUAGUUGGUGGGGUAAUGGCCUACCAAGGCGACAAUCCAUAGCUGGUCUGAGAGGAUGAUCAGCCACACUGGGACUGAGACACGGCCCAGACUCCUACAGGAGGCAGCAGUGGGGAAUAUUGGACAAUGGGCGAAAGCCUGAUCCAGCCAUGCCGCGUGAGUGAUGAAGGCCCUAGGGUUGUAAAGCUCUUUCACCGGUGAAGAUAAUGACGGUAACCGGAGAAGAAGCCCCGGCUAACUUCGUGCCAGCCGCCGCGGUAAAAC
rnacentral:rRNA from 1 species